GAACAAUACCUGCAAAUGCAGAAAGAGAAGAAGGCAAGUAAUUACUGCAUAGUAGUUGUGAGCUAAUAUGAGAACCGAAAAAACCUUUAAACAAAUCUCAAAUAAAAUUAUAUAACCAGUGAUUCGACAAGAGAACAAUGCACCAAAUAGCAAGAUGCAUGAUGUCGCUACCACAAAACAACAGCAAUAAAGCACCAGACAACCCACAUUUCACAAUGAUCACCUCAAACAACAGAAACUUUAACAACAGCAAUAAAGCACCAGCAAUAAUAUCCACUAUUUGACUACAAAAAUAGGAAGGAAAGAUGUCAAGGGAAAACAGGACAAUUAUAAUGUCCUUCAGAAUGAAGUAAAAACAAUGUAAAUGAAAAGAAAUAUGUUAUGUAUCAGACCUGCACUUCAUCCAGAAACAGAGAAAGGAAGCU
rnacentral:misc_RNA from 1 species